rnacentral:rRNA from 1 species
CCUACGGGGGGCUGCAGUGGGGAAUAUUGGACAAUGGGGGGAACCCUGAUCCAGCCAUGCCGCGUGUGUGAAGAAGGCCCUCGGGUUGUAAAGCACUUUCAGUGAGGAAGAACGCCUGGUGGUUAAUACCCAUCAGGAAAGACAUCACUCACAGAAGAAGCACCGGCUAACUCCGUGCCAGCAGCCGCGGUAAUACGGAGGGUGCGAGCGUUAAUCGGAAUUACUGGGCGUAAAGCGCGCGUAGGUGGCUUGAUAAGCCGGUUGUGAAAGCCCCGGGCUCAACCUGGGAACGGCAUCCGGAACUGUCAAGCUAGAGUGCAGGAGAGGAAGGUAGAAUUCCCGGUGUAGCGGUGAAAUGCGUAGAGAUCGGGAGGAAUUCCAGUGGCGAAGGCGGCCUUCUGGACUGACACUGACACUGAGGUGCGAAAGCGUGGGUAGCAAACAGGAUUAGAUACCCUAGUAGUC